CUUGACCGACCCGAGCAGCAGCGGCCGGUCAGCCGGCCGCUCGCGUCCGUACGUCGCCAGCAGUGCCUGUGCCUC
rnacentral:antisense_RNA from 1 species